UGCUGUCACCACUGCCACAUGCAUUUCUCUGGUAAGAAGACUCGGCAAGAAGUCUGAUUUCCACACUCAAGCUGGAGCUGACUAUCAGGGUUGAGCCUCAGGUGAAGAUUUGACUUGCUGGCAUUAAUUCUGAACACUUUCCAGGCCAUUUCAAUACUCUGUCCCUUAGCCUCUUGAAGACAUAGACUCUCUCCUCUGUUUUUCUUCUUUCUCUGAAAGUGAAUAGUCACAAACACCUUUUACUAAGUAAAUAUAAAGACAAGUGGAAAUCCUAACUAAAAGUCUUUCUGAGGAAAACAAUAGUUUAGUCACUUGACGUCAGAUAAAGGAAGGAUUCAUUUCACCAGAAACAAGAAGUCGUUUUGUGAGGGCACUUCUGUGUGGUUUGCAAGGAACUUGUGACUACAGAUAUUUUUUUUUUAUUAUCGCUCUUCUUUUUUUGAAUUUAACUUCUAGUAUUCAGGUUCACUAGAAAACCAGUUUAUGCACUGGUUUAAAAUUUUUGUUUUUACUAAGAAAAAUAAAUCUUGAAAGUCAAUGAAAACUGAAAAUGAAAUAAAAAUUUUUAAUUUUAAUUUUGUUGUGAUUUUGAAAAUCACAUUGAAUAUGGAUCCUGGUCACUUCUCAGGGCUGUGCAUUUUUUUGCCAAGGCCAACCACAGCUUUCUUAAAAGAAGACUAAAGAUUCAGCAAAAAAACCCAAAAACCAGCCUCAUAAUGUAGUAGAAUACAACACCCACUAAGGUGUAUAUUGUUCAAUCAAGAAUAAAAAGAGUAAUUCACAGAGAACAUUGUGAAGAAGUUCAACUUGAGGGUUGUCUAAUCUGUUUUCUGAAAUUCAUGCUUGGAAGUUAUAAAGGAGCCUGCUUUGUGAAGUACAUAGAUAAAGGCAUAGUGUCUAUGCUUGAAUCAGGAGUUGCUAAGAAACAUGCAUUAGGAAAAUAGUGAAAUGGUUUUAAAUUUCUAAAUAUGAAUAAAAUUACCUCAACUGCAAUGCCAGAACAUUUGAAAAGAUAUUAAAGACAGUGAAAAUGGCCUCUUUCUUUCAUAAAGAUUGUAUGUUUUAUAUCCCAUAAUAUAUCCAAGAUGACAAAUUAGUUCAAAGUAUUAAACUGUUGUUUCUUUGUAUCCAUUUUUAUACAACGCAUUAGUGGCAUUCAGCUUUGGGCAUAAUGUACAGUACCAUUUUUUUUUUAACUUUUUCUGUCCUGUGAUCUGUGUUUAUUUCAUACCUUUUACACAAUAAUAACUCAUUCGGACUUGACACAAAAAUGUUAACAUUCUUUGAACUUUCAUCUCUUCACCUGUUUCCUAAUAAUAACCUAAUUACCACAUAUCUUUUAAUGUUUAGAAAUAUAUAAUAUUAAUAAUUGAUAAUAAAGAGGAAAAUAUCAAAAGACUGAAUAUCUUUGAAAACAAAACAUUUCACUUUCUUCCAAGCAAAAAGUAUAUCCUGGAUUAACUCCUAACCUGGCAUAAGCCACAUAAAAUACACUAAAAGUGAUAAAUACUUUAUUCUAAUGAACUCAUAGAAAGGACUUUCCGGUUGCUUACCUGCAAACCGUGUGACUGUGCCAUACGUUCCGAGGGGAGAGAGAAGUUUCCUAAUGGCAAAACAAGGGACAGAUGAACAAAAAAUUACUCCCUGUUUUUCUGUGAGAUUCCAUAGCUAUUUUGAUCAGCUCAUGCCCUGGGACAAAAACCGGAAAGUCUACUUUCUAACCUUCUAACCUCCACAUCUCUCAGUCACAUUAAAUGUAGUUCCUUUUGUGUGAUAUAUAAUUCCUCAAAGCUCUCACGUUCCCUGCAGGGCUAAUGGAACAAUCCACAAUUGUUUAAUCCUUUUGCUAUCAAAUGAUGUUCAAGUGAAGGUCAAAGCUGCAUUUUAAAGAAUCUACAAAUUCCAAUGUAAAAGCAUGCUUCAAAAAUUUUAAAACAAUCUUUUUUUGGUGAUUGCUUAAACACGGAGUCUCAUGGAAAUGAGGAACUUCUUGAAGCCAGGUAUUUUGAAAAGGAGACAGAAACUGGACUACAGGGGCAUAGGGAGGAACAUACAACGGACUGAGAUGUGGGCCCCAAAGCAUCUCAAAACGUGUCUGUGAGAUGCAAUUGCAGAACCCAGAAAGCAACUACAACUCUGAAUAAAACAUUUGCUAAAUAGCUUUUGUACAAAUUGUAUCAAAUAUCCAGAAUCAUUGCACUACAGCAAUGCAGUGAUAUAUUGUACUUAUUUCCAAUUGGGCAGUCUUCAGAGGGGUUCAAAAAUUAGAUUUCUACUUGAAAAACCACUCAUCUUUCCCAAAAUCUUGCUUCAGUAGCUUUGGUUUGGGAAGCAGAAUUCUUAUUUUUCUAAGUGCCCCGGGUAAUUUUCUAAGAUGUUUAGAAAACAUUGAUAUAAGCAGCUGAAAUAAAUGGAAGUUUUGCCUACAUGGAGACAUUCAACUUGAAUUACAUAGAGCCAUUCUAAAAACCAUGUUACUUUUAACUCAUGUAAAUUGUCCCAUGUGCUUUAGUGAAAAGAAAUUUUGGUAUUGUUUGUUAAAAAACAACUAAAAAGUUAUUUUAGGAAUAUUAGAGGGAUUAAGAAAUAAAGGUAAUUUUUAAGUGGAUGUGACGUAAUAGCAUAGGUUGACUCAAUUCAAAAGACAUUGUAAAACAAUCAGUAUUUCAUCGUUAUUUUAAAAAUGUGAAUUGUAUUAUUUACUUAACAUUUUCAUCAGUUGGUAAAAUUGAUGGAAAUUGUUUUAAAGAAAUGGGGCCUGAGAAAUUUAAAUAUGUCUUUAAUAUUCCUAAAAUCUUUUGCUUUUACUAAAUUGAUAUACAUUCAUUUAAAAAAUCCAAACCAUAUAGAAAAGUACAGAAAGAAGUAAAAACUAUUCAAGAUCUUACAAUUUUAACAUUUUGGUAAGCAUCCUUCUACACAUCUCUAAAAAAUAGAUACAUGACAUAAAUGGAUUCAUACUAUCUCAGAACCUGUUUUUUUAAAAAAAAUAAAGUAUGAAGCUAUAUUUUUCAGUGUCUCCAAAGAAACUUCUCUACAUCAAAAGUUGUAAUAGCUCUGUGGUAUUUAAUUCUACAUAUGUACCAAAAUGUACUCUGCACCUCAGCUUCUUCAGCUGUGAAAUAGUAUAAAAAUACAACAGUUCUGGCAUAUAAUAAACAUUAAAUGUUAACUACUAUUAUUAUA